GAUGAACGCUAGCGGCAGGCUUAACACAUGCAAGUCGAGGGGCAACACGGGUAGCAAUACCUGGUGGCGACCGGCGCAAGGGUGCGUAACGCGUGAGCAACAUGCCCUAUACAGGGGGAUAAUCCAGGGAAACUUGGUCUAAUAUCCCAUAGUAUUUAGAGGUGGCAUCACCACUAAAUUAAAGCUUCGGUGGUAUAGGAUUGGCUCGCGUGACAUUAGCUGGAUGGUGGGGUAACGGCUCACCAUGGCGAUGAUGUCUAGGGGUUCUGAGAGGAAGACCCCCCACACUGGGACCUGAGACACGGCCCAGACUCCUACGGGAGGCAGCAGUGAGGAAUAUUGGACAAUGGAUGGAAAUCUGAUCCAGCCAUGCCGCGUGCAGGAAGACGGCCCUAUGGGUUGUAAACUGCUUUUAUAUGGGAGCAAUAAGGUUUACGCGUAGACCGAUGAGAGUACCAUAUGAAUAAGCAUCGGCUAACU
rnacentral:rRNA from 1 species